rnacentral:rRNA from 1 species
GCAAGGCCUUGCGCUCUUUGAGCGGCCGAUGUCAGAUUAGCUAGUUGGUGAGGUAAAGGCUUACCAAGGCGACGAUCUGUAGCGGGUCUGAGAGGAUGAUCCGCCACACUGGAACUGAGACACGGUCCAGACUCCUACGGGAGGCAGCAGUGGGGAAUUUUGGACAAUGGGGGCAACCCUGAUCCAGCCAUGCCGCGUGAGUGAAGAAGGCCUUCGGGUUGUAAAGCUCUUUCGGCCGGGAAGAAAUCGCAUGGGCCAAUACCCUGUGUGGAUGACGGUACCGGAAUAAGAAGCACCGGCUAACUACGUGCCAGCAGCCGCGGUAAUACGUAGGGUGCGAGCGUUAAUCGGAAUUACUGGGCGUAAAGCGUGCGCAGGCGGUUUUGUAAGACAGGCGUGAAAUCCCCGGGCUUAACCUGGGAACUGCGUUUGUGACUGCAAGGCUAGAGUACGGCAGAGGGGGGUGGAAUUCCACGUGUAGCAGUGAAAUGCGUAGAGAUGUGGAGGAACACCAAUGGCGAAGGCAGCCCCCUGGGUCGAUACUGACGCUCAUGCACGAAAGCGUGGGUAGCAAACAGGAUUAGAUACCCUGGUAGUCCACGCCCUAAACUAUGUCAACUAGGUGUUGGGUGGGUAAAACCAUUUAGUACCGUAGCUAACGCGUGAAGUUGACCGCCUGGGGAGUACGGCCGCAAGGUUAAAACUCAAAGGAAUUGACGGGGACCCGCACAAGCGGUGGAUGAUGUGGAUUAAUUCGAUGCAACGCGAAAAACCUUACCUACCCUUGACAUGCCAGGAACUUGCCAGAGAUGGCUUGGUGCCCGAAAGGGAGCCUGGACACAGGUGCUGCAUGGCUGUCGUCAGCUCGUGUCGUGAGAUGUUGGGUUAAGUCCCGCAACGAGCGCAACCCUUGUCGUUAAUUGCCAUCAUUUAGUUGGGCACUUUAACGAGACUGCCGGUGACAAACCGGAGGAAGGUGGGGAUGACGUCAAGUCCUCAUGGCCCUUAUGGGUAGGGCUUCACACGUCAUACAAUGGUCGGUACAAAGGGUUGCCAAGCCGCGAGGCGGAGCCAAUCCCAGAAAGCCGAUCGUAGUCCGGAUUGCAGGCUGCAACUCGCCUGCAUGAAGUCGGAAUCGCUAGUAAUCGUGGAUCAGCAUGUCACGGUGAAUACGUUCCCGGGUCUUGUACACACCGCCCGUCACACCAUGGGAGCGGGUUCCGCCAGAAGUAGGUAGCCUAACCGCAAGGGGGGCGCUUACCACGGCGGGGUUCGUGACUGGGGUGAAGUCGUAACAAGGUA